rnacentral:lncRNA from 12 species
GAUUCUGGGGGUCACGGGGCCACCCCCUCUGCUCUGGGAUUUCAGGGGGGGAGCUCUGGAGGUGGCUGAGCUGCUACACCUGCGGGCUGGUGUGCAUCGCCUGCGUCCUGGACGGCGCCGCCGGCGUCCUCUGGAUGUGGGAGGAAGGCCCGUCUGUGGCUGUCAUCCUGCCUGAGAUCACCCUGAGCUACCUCACCGUGGUCACCUUCCUGGUCGCCACCACGGUGCUUUUCCAGCCUGCAGAUUUCAGCCACCUGAAGAGCAAAAAAGGUGAGGGGUCCGUCCCUUCCGGGAUGGACCAAACCGCCCCCCAGGGCCGGAUCAGCCCCCCUGUUUGUGCAGGGAGAGCGGCAGCGCCGGGGGUGCCCGGGCGGUGCCCGCACCGUGCCCGGACCGUGCCCCCUCCCGCAGCACACCGCACCAUGGGCUACGCCGCCCCCGGCGCCGUGCUGGCCGUGCUGCUCAGCAGCUGCUUCCUCAUCCGGAGCGUCUACCAGCGCCACGAAGGAGGAUGCACAAAGUUCAUGGAUGUGACUGUCCUGGUGGCCAGCACGGCGGCUGUGGUGGCCCUGCCCCUCCUCGUGGGGGGGGGGGGGGGGGGGGGGGGGGGGGGGGGGGGGGGGGGGGGGGGGGGGGGGGGGGGGGGGGGGGGGGGGGGGGGGGGGGGGGGGGGCCCUGCCCCUCCUCGUCAUCGGCCUCUGCUGUGAGUCUGCUCCUCCUGCUCCUCCUGCUCCUCCUGCUCCUCCUCCUCCUCUUCCUCGGGGGCCCCACAGCACCCAGCAGCCACAGGAGCCAUUGCAAAGUGCUUCCUUUGGGUUCUGUGAAGCCCCCAUGGCUCCCACUGACUGUUUGCCUCCCCUGGGAAGCUCCAGGAACUGUAUCCUAAACCCAUCACCCCAGGAACUGUAUCCCAAAUCCAUCACCCCAGGGGCUGUAUCCCAAAUCCAUCACCCCAGGAACUGUAUCCCAAACCCACCACCCCAAGGGCUGUAUCCCAAAUCCACCACCCCAGGGGCUGUAUCCCAAAUCCACCACCCCAAGGGCUGUAUCCCAAAUCCACCACCCCAGGGGCUGUAUCCCAAAUCCACCACCCCAAGGGCUGUAUCCCAAAUCCACCACCCCAGGGGCUGUAUCCCAAAUCCACCACCCCAAGGGCUGUAUCCCAAAUCCACCACCCCAGGGGCUG